CUUUUUAUUUUUUUAAAAUUAGACGACACCAGAAAGAUUAUCAACCCGAUGUGAUUUGAUUGGGCUGACAAUCAGUUGAUGACAGCAGAAAGGGAAAAAAGCCUUGAAAGUGCCAUUAAUUUUUUGCAUGACGAGCUGCUGAAUACGAACCAGUCUCACACCAUUGCCAUCACCUUGCCCUUGUGAAGGCAGAUAUGGAUAAAGUUUUCAAAGCUGAUAGAAAAUUGAAAGCACUCACAUCCUGUGACGAUGCUCUACACAUUCUCCACAACUGACUCAGGAUGACACGCAUUCAAGAAUACAACGUUAUGCCAACAGGUUAAAAAAUGCUUUGCCUCAUUGAAAUUCUAAUUUGUUUCGAUACAGUGCCAACUGAUUAAACUGGUUCAUGCCGGGAUGGCUCAGUGGUUAGCACUGUUGCCUGAUAGUGCCAGGGACUUGGGUUCACUUCCACCCUUUAGCAAUUGUUUGUGUGGAGUUUUCACAUUCUCCUCAUGUCUGUAUGGGUUUCCUCCAGGUGCUGCAGUUUCCUCCCAUAGUCCAAGGAUUUGCAGGUUAGGUGGGUUAGCCAUGGGAAAUGCAGGGUUACAGGGAUAGGGUAGGGAAAGUUCUGGGUGGGAUGCUCUUGGGAGCGUCCAUGUGGACUGAGUGGGCCUGCUUCCACACUGCAGAGAUUCUGUGUUUUGGCCAAAUGAGAAAUCACUUAGUUCUUGGACAUUGGUGAUUAAAAAUAAAAUUCACCGUUGUCUAGCU